AGCUCCAAUAGCGUAUAUUAAAGUUGUUGCGGUUAAAAAGCUCGUAGUUGGAUCUCGGCAGGUAGGGGGCGGUUCGUUUCUGACGGCACUGCCCCAUUUACCUGUGUUUUUGCAAGAGGUCUCAAGGUGGCUUUAAUCGGCUGUCUUGGAACGCUUGCAGUUUUACUUUGAAAAAAUUAGAGUGCUCAAAGCAGGCUACAAAGCUUGAAUAUUUGUGCAUGGAAUAAUGGAAUAGGAAGUCGUUUCUAUUUUUUUGGUUUUCGGAAAUUGACUUAAUGAUUAAUAGGGACAGCCGGGGGCAUUAGUACUCAGACGACAGAGGUGAAAUUCUUGGACCGUUUGAGGACUAACUACUGCGAAAGCAUUUGCCAAGAGUGUUU
rnacentral:rRNA from 1 species